UGAACGCUGGCGGCGUGCUUAACACAUGCAAGUGCGCGGUGAUCUCAAGAAGUUUCGGACGGAAAGGGAGAGCAGCAGCGGACGGGUGAGUAAAGCACAAGGACUUGUCCCGAAGAGGGGGACAACUGUGGGAAACCACAGCUAAUACCCCAUAAGCCGAGAGGUGAAAGCAGCGAUGCGCUUUAGGAGAGACUUGUGUCCUAUCAGGUAGUUGGUGAGGUAACGGCUCACCAAGCCGAAGACGGGUAGCCGGACUGAGAGGUUGUACGGCCACAUUGGAACUGAGAGACGGUCCAGACUCCUACGGGAGGCAGCAGUGGGGAAUAUUGGGCAAUGGGGGCAACCCUGACCCAGCGACGCCGCGUGAGGGAAGACAGCCUUCGGGUUGUAAACCUCUGUUGCAGGGGAAGAAGAAAGUGACGGUACCCUGCGAGGAAGCUCCGGCAAACUACGUGCCAGCCGCCGC
rnacentral:rRNA from 1 species